rnacentral:lncRNA from 1 species
ACAACUCAAAAAGGCAUUGGGAUGAUCCCACUUUUGAUUACUACGCUCCAGAUUUGAAAAAGCAUCCUAGUUUUAGAUGGGCAGGUACUAAACAGCCUUUUGAGCAUCCUAAUGUGCCACAAGAUUUAGAGGAAUGAUGUGUAAUUCAAACACCCCAAUGUGCAAUGAGUUAUGACUAUAUGCAGGAAGACGCCAUAAUUGAAGAAUCACCAGGCAAUGACUCUAGCCCAAUGGAGGAAGUUACUGAUCCUGCAAUUUCAACAGAAUUUGCCGCUACCCAAGUCUAUAUACCACACAUUCUCUUUCAAGAGGCUGCAAUGCAACCCACAAAGUUGCGGGAAAGCUUUGAAACUGACAGUGCACCAGCAAAGCCAAUCAUAAUUGCAGAAAUAGAGUGCAAGUCCAUCGAGCAGGCUACAUUCUACAACGGGAAGAAGAAAAAGCUUAACGGUAGCCCAAUCCUUCGUCCAGACAUUCGACCUAUACAUAAAUUAUGGGUAUUACAUACAAGAUUGAAGUCAGCUCAAGGGAAACACAAGCAUCAAUGGAGGGGACCCUAUUUGAUCACAAAGAUUCAUUCACAUAUAAGGGCAAUUAUGAAGAAUUCAACCAACUCGUUAUGUGCCUACUAUUGCCGUAUGAUGCUAUCAAGGAGUGAUUGAUUUUGAAGGAACAAGUGACGUUAUCAUCAGCCUCAUUCACAUCUAUCUAGUUAUAGACGUUAACUAAAGCACUAAUUGGGAGGCAACCAAUUUUUCGAAACUCUUUUCUUUUUAUUUCCGUUCAUUUCAUUUUAUUUUUCGAAGCACAAUUUGGAUUUGUGCACCCGUGCCAAUUCUAUGUUUGCGCCUCUUCUUCUAACCACGAAUGGGAU